AUCCUUUUAGUAUAAAAAUUAUAAUUGACUUCCAAUCAAUUGAUCUAUUAAUAUAAUAGAAAGGAUA
rnacentral:tRNA from 1 species